GGAUAAUAAAAAUCCCUGAAAAUUUAUACAAAGAAUUCGCAAAAAAAUGAAAAAUCACAAAUUGACUCAGUACAGUCUUAAGCGUAUCGAAGGCAAUAAAGAUUAAUUGAAAUAAUGAUCUUUUAUAGAGAUUAAAAUGAAACUUUACCAACGACUAAAAAUAAACAAAACGCCAUAAAUAAAUAGAGGAGACAGAAGAGUUCCAUAGUGAAAACUCGGAAAACGUCAAAAUGAAAAACAUAUCAAAACAAAUAGUUGUUCUGCACCGAAAACAUCUACGAUUGCAUGUUAAAAGUAUGUGCACUGGGAGCACUAGUCUAGAAAAUCCUGUUGCUCCAACACGAAGGUUUCCAGAAUUGGGAAACACCCUGUUUAAACAGCCUUCUCUA